AACGGACGCUGGCGGCGUGCCUAACACAUGCGAGUCGAACGUGAAAGUCCUUCGGGAUGAGUAGAGUGGCGCACGGGUGAGUAACACGUAGGUGACCUGCCUUUUAGAGGGGAAUAACCAGAAGAAAUUUUGGCUAAUGCCGCAUACGAAGCACGGUUUUAAGACUGUGCUUGAAAGAAUGCCUCUGUAUAUGCAUUCACUAAAAGAUGGGCCUGCGGAACAUUAGCUAGUUGGUGGGGUAAAGGCCUACCAAGGCAACGAUGUUUAUCCGGUCUGAGAGGAUGAUCGGACACACUGGAACUGAGACACGGUCCAGACUCCUACGGGAGGCAGCAGUGGGGAAUAUUGCGCAAUGGGGGAAACCCUGACGCAGCAACGCCGCGUGAGUGAGGAAGGACUUCGGUCCGUAAAGCUCUGUUAAUGUGGAAAAAUGGUAGUUGGUCUAAUAGGCCGAUUAUUUGAUGGUACACAUAGAGGAAGCACCGGCUAACUUCGUGCCAGCCGCCGCCGUAA
rnacentral:rRNA from 1 species